rnacentral:rRNA from 1 species
AUUGAACGCUGGCGGCAUGCCUAACACAUGCAAGUCGAACGGCAGCACGGGGACAGUUCUGGUGUCGCGUGGGGGACGGGGACGUGAGACAUAUGUACGUGACCCGGCCUGAGGGAUGGGGUAACGUACGGUAAACGGAAACCACAACCGAUCAGAGUAUGAAGGCCAAGGAGCGUGAGGUCCCGCCCGAUUGGCGUCGGCUGUGUCCGAUUAGGUAGUUGGUGGGGUAACGGCAUACCAAGGCGACGAUCAGUAGCUGGUCUGAGAGGAUGACCAGCCACACUGGGACUGAGACACGGUCCAGACUCCUACGGGAGGCAGCAGUGGGGAAUUUUGCACAAUGGGCGCAAGCCUGAUGCAGCCAUGCCGCGUGUAUGACGAAGGCCUUCGGGUUGUAAACUGCUUUUAUCCGGGACGAAAAGAGUCUGGCUAAUACCUGGACUUCUUGACGGUACCGUAAGAAUAAGCACCGGCUAACUACGUG